UACGUAGGGUGCAAGCGUUAAUCGGAAUUACUGGGCGUAAAGCGUGCGCAGGCGGUUGUGCAAGACAGAUGUGAAAUCCCCGGGCUUAACCUGGGAACUGCAUUUGUGACUGCACGGCUAGAGUGUGUCAGAGGGGGGUAGAAUUCCACGUGUAGCAGUGAAAUGCGUAGAGAUGUGGAGGAAUACCGAUGGCGAAGGCAGCCCCCCUGGGAUAACACUGACGCUCAUGCACGAAAGCGUGGGGAGCAAACAGG
rnacentral:rRNA from 1 species